UACAGAGGGUGCAAGCGUUGUCCGGAAUCACUGGGCGUAAAGGGCGCGUAGGCGGCCUGAUAAGUCCGUGGUGAAAUCCUCCGGCUCAACCGGAGAACUGCCUCGGAUACUGGGCGUCUCGAGUGUGGUAGGGGUAUGCGGAACUAUCGGUGGAGCGGUGAAAUGCGUUGAUAUCGAUAGGAACUCCGGUGGCGAAGGCGGCAUACUGGACCACCACUGACGCUGAUGCGCGAAAGCCAGGGGAGCAAACGGG
rnacentral:rRNA from 1 species